rnacentral:lncRNA from 1 species
UGGACAGACGUACCCAGUCAGGGAAUGUUUACUUUGCCUCCACUUCUGUUCCUCCCCGCCCUGGUGCUGCUCCGGGUCACAUACUCGUCCUGAGCCGGCUUCAGCCUCUCCGCGCAGAAGUCUCCCGGAGCCGACUUCUGAGAGUCGAGUACUCCUAUGUGAAGACUACCAAGCUCGUGUUCAAGGGAACCAAGGCGAAGAGGCGAGAUGGAAAGAAAGUAUCAAGGAGUGAGCUGAAGCCACUGCCCUUGAGAACCCUCUCGAGGAGUCUGGGCUCAUGAGGAUGCCAGAAUAAGUGGCAGUAAGAAGAAAAAGAACAAAGAUAAGAAAAGAAAAAGAGAAGAAGAUGAAGAAACCCAGCUUGAUAUGUUGAAAUAUCAAUUUUAUUUUUUAGGAAUCUGGUGGACAGUAACAAACUUUGGUGAAAUUUCAGGAACCAUAGCCAUUGAAAUGGAUGAGGGAACCUAUAUACAUGCACUCGAUAAUGGUCUUUUUACCCUGGGAGCUCCACACAAAGAAGUUGAUGAGGGCCCUAGUCCUCCAGAGCAGUUUUCGGCUGUCAAAUUAUCUGAUUCCAGAAUCACCCUGAAAUCUGGCUAUGGAAAAUAUCUUGGUAUAAAUUCAGAUGAACUUGUUGUUGGGCGUUCAGAUGCAAUUGGACCAAGAGAACAAUGGGAACCAGUCUUUAAAAUUGGGAAAAUGGCUUUGUCGACCUCAAAUAGCUGCUUUAUUAGAUACAGUGAAGCAGAGGACAUAGAAGCAAAAAGUAAAACAGCAGGAGAAGAAGAAAUGAUCAAGGCUCUCCUAAUCUCUGUCAGACCUUCACCUUUAUGACCUUGCCUUAUCUACCAGAACACAGAUCCCUCUUACUAAAGAUUAGAUCCUGUGCUGAAAGAGAAACCAAGAAAAAAGAUGACAUUCCAGAAGAAGACAAAGGAAAUAUAAAACAAUGUGAAAUCAA